rnacentral:misc_RNA from 1 species
UCGAUUGUGAAUAGUUACCUUCAGUGCUGGCCUUGCUGCAUGUGCACGUUGGUGACUUUCAUCCACACACUUGUGCACCUUUGGCCUCUUGCUGGCUUCAGCUGGCAGAGGAUUUUUACACACACACUCGAAUGUAAUGAAAACGUUUGUCGUGCGCAAGCACUAAUGUA